CGGUUCAACAUUUGCUUUCCAAGCAAAAAAGACGGGUUCGACUCCCGUAUCCCGCU
rnacentral:tRNA from 1 species